UUCGGGAGACAACGUGGCGGACGGGUGAGGAACACGUGGGGAACCUGCCCACUGGUGGGGGGUAGCCCUCGGAAACGAGGGGUAAUUCCGCAUAAGCUGGUUUGCGGGUAGCGCAGAUCAGGAAAGGGUCUUCGGACUCGCCGGUGGAGGGGCCUGCGUCCGAUUAGCUUGUUGGUGGGGUAACGGCCUACCAAGGCAGUGAUCGGUAGCUGGUCUGAGAGGACGGCCAGCCACAGGGGGACUGAGACACGGCCCCCACUCCUACGGGAGGCAGCAGCAAGGAGUUUUCCGCAAUGGGCGAAAGCCUGACGGAGCAACGCCGCGUGGGGGAUGACACCUUUCGGGGCGUAAACCCCUUUUCUUGGGGACGAAGCAGUGACGGUACCCGAGGAAGAAGGCCCGGCUAACUACGUGCCAGCAGCCGCGGUAAUACGUAGGGGCCGAGCGUUGUCCGGAAUUACUGGGCGUAAAGCGCGCGCAGGCGGCCCGUCAAGCCUGACGUGAAAGCCCCCGGCUCAACCGGGAAGGGUCGUCGGGGACUGGCGAGCUUGAGGUCGGCAGGGGUUGGUGGUAUUCCCGGUGUAGUGGUGAAAUGCGUAGAGAUCGGGAGGAACACCCGUGGCGAAGGCGGCCAACUGGGCCGAACCUGACGCUGAGGCGCGAAGGCGUGGGGAGCGAACGGGAUUAGAUACCCCGGUAGUCCACGCAGUAAACGAUGCAGACUAGGCGCGGGGGGACUUGACCCCCUCCGUGCCGAAGCCAACGCGUGAAGUCUGCCGCCUGGGGAGUACGGCCGCAAGGCUAAAACUCAAGGAAUUGACGGGGGCCCGCACAAGCGGCGGAGCGUGCGGGUUUAAUUCGACGCAACGCGUAGAA
rnacentral:rRNA from 1 species